rnacentral:rRNA from 1 species
UACGUAGGGGGCGAGCGUUGUCCGGAUUUAUUGGGCGUAAAGAGCGUGUAGGCGGCCAGGUAGGUCUGCUGUGAAAACUCGAGGCUCAACCUCGAGACGUCGGCGGAAACCAUCUGGCUAGAGUCCGGAAGAGGAGAGUGGAAUUCCUGGUGUAGCGGUGAAAUGCGCAGAUAUCAGGAGGAACACCUGCGGUGUAGACGGCUUACUGGACGGUAACUGACGCUGAGGCACGAAAGCGUGGGUAGCAAACAGG